rnacentral:tRNA from 1 species
GGCCUGGUAGGCAAGUGGUAAGCCGGGAGUCUGCAAAACUCCUAUGCGCGAGUUCGAUUCUCGCCCAGGCCUCCA